UGUGUGUGUGUGUGUGUGUGUGUGUGUGUGUGUGUGUGUGUUACACAUGUUAAACUAUGCAUUAAUUGUUAACAGUGUUGCUUGUCUUACUGUACAGCUGCUCAUCUCCAUAGAGACCAGGAUCUGUUUGCCCAGUCUCUCACACCAACAGCCCCCUGGUCGUCGCCUCCUGCAAAACUAUAGCUGAAGCCUAAAUACUACAUAUACUAUAUACAACUCAUGUUCUGACUUAUCUUCACCAUCACUUUUAUAUCAGUUUCAGAUGUACAGAUGUAGCAGCUUUUCCCCAUUAAUAACUGAUCUAGAUGUGUGUGUGUGUGUGUGUGUGUGUGUGUGUGUGUGUGUGUGUGUUUGUUCAACAUUUGGAAGUUGUCCUGUUAGGUUUUAGGUUGUUUUUACUCUGACACCUCUUUGUGAUUGUGCCUCAUAUCGCCUGGACUGUGUGUUUCUUAAAUACUGCAAAUUUCUCUUUUUUCUUUUCUUGAAAAGUUCGCUAUCAAUCCCUAUGAUGUAAAUAAUUGUAAUGUAGUAAAUAAAUGGGAGAUGUUCUUCCCAGAAAUACCUUU